GACGUAGGAUGCAAGCGUUGUCCGGAUUUAUUGGGCGUAAAGAGUUCGUAGGUGGUUUGUUAAGUCUGAUGUUAAAGACUGGGGCUCAACCUCGGGAGUGCAUUGGAUACUGGCAGACUGGAGUGCAGUAGAGGCAAGCGGAAUUCCCAGUGUAGCGGUGAAAUGCGUAGAUAUUGGGAAGAACACCGGUGGCGUAAGCGGCUUGCUGGGCUGUAACUGACACUGAGGAACGAAAGCUAGGGGAGCAAAUGGG
rnacentral:rRNA from 1 species